GUCCCCGUAGUUCAAUGGAUAGAACACUAGCCUUCUAAGCUGGAUAUGCAGGUUCAAUUCCUGCCGGGGACA
rnacentral:tRNA from 1 species